rnacentral:rRNA from 1 species
GACGGGGGGGGCAAGUGUUCUUCGGAAUGACUGGGCGGAAAGGGCGUGUAGGCGGUCGGUCAAGUCUGGUGUGAAAGCCCGGGGCUCAGCUCCGGAAGUGCAUCGGAAACUAGCUGGCUGGAGCGCGAUAGAGGAGGGCGGAAUUCCUGGUGUAGCGGUGAAAUGCGUAGAUAUCAGGAGGAACACCGGCGGCGAAGGCGGCCCUCUGGAUCGUUGCUGACGCUGAGACGCGAAAGCGUGGGGAGCAAACAGG